rnacentral:rRNA from 1 species
UACGUAGGGUCCGAGCGUUGUCCGGAAUUAUUGGGCGUAAAGGGCUCGUAGGUGGUUUGUCGCGUCGGGAGUGAAAUCCCUGGGCUUAACCCAGGGCCUGCUUUCGAUACGGGCAGACUAGAGGCAUUCAGGGGAGAACGGAAUUCCUGGUGUAGCGGUGAAAUGCGCAGAUAUCAGGAGGAACACCGGUGGCGAAGGCGGUUCUCUGGGAAUGUUCUGACGCUGAGGAGCGAAAGUGUGGGGAGCGAACAGG